CCUACGGGAGGCAGCAGUGGGGAAUUUUCCGCAAUGGGCGAAAGCCUGACGGAGCAAUGCCGCGUGGAGGUAGAAGGCCCACGGGUCGUCAACUUCUUUUCUCGGAGAAGAAACAAUGACGGUAUCUGAGGAAUAAGCAUCGGCUAACUCUGUGCCAGCAGCCGCGGUAAU
rnacentral:rRNA from 1 species